rnacentral:rRNA from 1 species
UACGUAGGCAGCAAGCGUUGUUCGGAGUUACUGGGCGUAAAGAGUGCGUAGGCGGUUCCCUAAGUUCGGUGUGAAAUCUCCCGGCUCAACUGGGAGGGUGCGCCGGAAACUGGGGGGCUUGAGUGUGGGAGAGGAAAGCGGAAUUCCUGGUGUAGCGGUGAAAUGCGUAGAUAUCGGGAGGAACACCGGUGGCGAAGGCGGGUCUCUGGGCAAUUCCUGACGCUGAGGCGCGAAAGCGUGGGGAGCAAACGGG